UUGCUUUUGUGUUUUCGGUUUUGAAGGAAAAUAGAUCAAAACUAAACUAUCAACAAUGUGUAGAACAGAUCACAAAAGAACGAUAAUAACAAUAAGUACAACAACAAGAAUAUCUAUCAACAGGUAUAUAGAGUUUAGUUUAAAGCACAAACAGCAAUUCAUACCUCUCGAUUUCCGCUAUCCUGGCAAGCAAAUAACAACAAAUUUCAUUUUGUGUUUGCGCGGUAUUCGAUCAAAAACAAACAAGCGUUAAUUUGUAAUUACAAAAUGUCGUUGGGUGUUAAAAAUAAAGGCGCAAAUCAAAAGGGCAGCAAAAUAAAAAAAAAAAAAUCUAAUUGAAAUACCACAAUAUCAAUACACAAUUAUACGGGCCGCCCACAUAACUAAAAUGGAGGGAGGAAUGGAAUCGAAACGCAAAACGUAGCCUGGGCCUGGGUAGCCGUUGAAGCUCUACAAAUUCACUUUCCAUUGGCUGUUCUGAUAGCCUGUCUGUCUGCCUGUUUGCCUGCCCGCCUGUAACUUACCUUCUUGAAAUGCAUCAACGUAUCCGAGCUGUUCUCGCACAUUUCCGUAAUGAGCGUUACGCCGGUAAUGAGGAUGCCUGGAAAAAUACAUGAUAGUUAAUACAGAUAUGAUUGGAUAAGUAUAGCAUUUCAAUCUAACCGUGAUUCUUUUCGCUGAGCAGCGAACGUGUGGCCGGCAGAAAGAUCUCCAUCAGUUCGGGCACACGGCGUAUGACUCGAAAUGCGCACAGUGUCGCCUUUUUCCGGAUGUACGUGUUGGGCGAUUUCAUAAGGCGCUCCACCUCGCUAGCCAGAUCACGUGCCAUCUCCGGCGACGCAAUGGCGCCCAGGGUGCACAGCGCCAAUCCAACCACAAACUGCGUCGAGCUGUUCAAGUCGCUGGAAAAAGUAUAAAUACAAAUAACGUUAUUAUAUAGUUGAGCGUGCUAAUAAAUAAUUAAAUGAAUGAAUAGUUUAA